GGUAUAUUUAUUACAUUUACUUAAAAAUGGCAAAUCCAAAUGUUGAAAUUUUAUAUAAUCAGAUAUUUAUCAACAAUAAUUUUGUAAACUCAGUAAGUGGGAAAACAUUUCAGACUAUCAAUCCUGCAAAUAAAAACAAAAUUAUUGAUGUUGCCGAAGCAGAUAAAGAUGAUGUUGAUUUGGCAGUUAAUGCAGCAAAAACUGCAUUUCAGUCAGAUUCUGAGUGGCGUAAAAUGGACGCAUCUGCUCGAGGACAAUUGAUGUAUAAAUUAUCAGAAUUAAUUGAUAAACAUAAAAUUCAUUUGGCAAAUUUAGAGUCUUUAGAUAAUGGCAAACCGUUUAGCGACUCACUAUUGGAUAUACAAAUGGCUGUUUCAACUCUUCAAUAUUAUGCUGGAUUUGUUGAUAAAAUUCAUGGAAAGACUAUUCCAGCGGAUGGGCCAUAUUUUGCAUUCACUAAACGUCAACCUGUUGGAGUUGUUGGACAAAUUAUACCUUGGAAUUAUCCAAUUUUAAUGCUGGCAUGGAAAUGGGGACCAGCUCUUGCUACUGGGUGUACAAUUGUACUGAAACCAGCAGAACAAACUCCUCUCACUGCUCUACAUGUAGCUGCACUAUCAAAAGAAGCAGGAUUUCCUGAUGGAGUCAUUAACGUUGUACCUGGAUAUGGUCCGACUGCGGGUAAAGCUAUAGCUUGCCAUCAAGACAUAAAUAAAGUGGCAUUUACUGGAUCAACAGAAGUUGGAAAAUUAAUCAUGGAAGAAGCUGCCAAGUCAAAUUUAAAACGUGUAUCAUUAGAAUUAGGUGGUAAAAGUCCUUUAGUGAUAUUCGAUGAUUUUGAUGUUGACGAAGCUGCUAAGAUUGCUCAUGAUGCUAUAUUUGCCAACAUGGGUCAAAAUUGUUGUGCUGGUUCUAGAACAUUUGUUCAAGAAGGUAUCUAUGAAAAAUUUGUUGAAAAAGCUGCCUACUUAGCAUCCCAAAAGAAAGUUGGAGACCAAUUUGAUGUUGAUACACAAAUAGGACCUUUGGUGAACGAAGAGCAAUACAACAAAGUUUUGAGUAUGAUUGAAUCUGGUAAAGCGGAAGGAGCCAAAGUAGAAGCGGGUGGAUCAAAAGUAGGUGAUACUGGAUAUUUUGUGUAUCCCACUGUAUUCUCAAAUGUGACUGAUAAUAUGAAAAUUGCUAAAGAAGAAAUUUUUGGGCCAGUCCAGCAGAUUAUUAAAUUUAAAACUUUGGAUGAAGUGAUAAAACGUGCAAACGACACUAAAUAUGGAUUAGCUGCUGGAGUAUUAACUAACAAUUUAAAUUCUGCAAUGAAGUUUAUAGAUGAUGUUAAUGCUGGUUCAGUAUGGGUUAAUUGUUAUGAUGCUAUUAGUGUCCAAUGUCCAUUUGGAGGAUUUAAACAGUCCGGACAAGGAAGAGAAUUAGGAGAAGAUGGUCUAAAGGAAUACUUGGAAUUAAAAGCCGUCACAAUCAGAAAGAACAAUUUUUAAUACUAUUAAAAAGAGAACCGCACUGUUAUAUAAUAGAUGAUAAUAGAUGUACCUUGUCAUUGAGGAAUUGAAGAUAUAACACUUAAUAUGUCUGUAAAAUUUAAAUUCAAUAAUUUCAAUGGAUACGAUGAAUAAAGAUUCUAUGAGAAGACGUUCAAACAUUUUGGCAACCGAAUACCGGAGUACACAAUCCGCACCACGAGAAACUAUAACUAUCGUACAUUCAAAUAAUAGAAUUUGUCCCCACCAUGCAGUCGUUGCCAUAUGGCUGGUGGUGAGUAAUGACAUGUUUUGGUCGUCGGCUCUUU
rnacentral:misc_RNA from 1 species